UUUGGCAAAGGGUUUUGUCUGCCCUGAAACUGCAUUUCUCAACAUUUGCUGGUUAAAUUUGCCGAUUGCAGUCUGGACUGCAAAGGUUUUUUACACAUUCCAGAUCUGAAGAAAAGCCCAUGUGGGUUUUUUUUCCCAGGUCUCUCUCAAUGAGCCCUUCUGCCAUUAUAAAAAAUGAUGAUUCCCGUCUACGUAGAAGUCAUAUUAUACAUUACUUUAUUUCCAUUUGUUACUCUUUAUUACAGCUCUUUACCUGCAUGUGUAACAACAGCUGCUCCAGCCUGGCCUUGGGCACUGCCAGGGAUCCAGGGGCAGCCACAGCUGCUCUGGCACCCUGUGCCAGGGCCUGCCCACCCUGCCAGGGAACAAUUCCUGCCCAAUAGCCCACCUAAACCUUUUCUCUUUCCUUCUGCAGCUACUCCAAGCCCUCCUGAACAGUCUGUCUCCAUUUUUCUUGUAGGUCCUGGAAGGCUGCAAAUAUCAAGUCCUGAUUAUGUUCACGGGGAAUUCGUGAUUGACUGCACAUUCUGGUGGUAUUUUGGGAUAGGGAGAAUUAAUAUUCAUCGACAGUCUUAAAUGGGGAUUUGUAUCAACAACCAAAAAAAAACUUAAAAGAGCUUGUUUGAGAUUUGUAAUGAUAAUGUUCUUUCACAGCUGCUUUUGUGAGGGGGGAAUAAUUUGGCAGCACUAGAGCUGCAGUUGACUCUCCAGUUUGUAGUGAAAUUACAAAGUGAACGUUCCCUCCCGAGAACCCAGAGCUGUUGCUGGGAGCUGGAGGCACACUCUGGAGAGAGCCUGGAGUGCUGCAGCAUUGCAAAUUGGUGUCAUUGCACUGCCUGCACCCCCUGGAAAACAGCAAAAAAAGGAAUGAUGUGAUUUUUCUUUAAGCUUUAGGAAAAUGAAUUCAUGCUAAAAUGGCCUUAUCUUUUAUUUCCUCCCCUCCCCUACAUAUAAUGUUGGAUCCUAUGUGAUAAUUUAUCCACAGGAACACUUUUUUCCACCCCCUACUCCUAAUGGGAAAUUUCUGCAGACAGAAAAUCCUUAAAUGUGAAAAGGCCAGAGGCUGGCACAAGUUAAACAGAGGAAGAUUAAGAUCAAACACAAACCCGUGGUGUAACGAGAUAAGAAAGCAACACAGCUUCAGAGCAAAAUAUUUAGAUAAGGAUUAUUUGGGGCGCUGCAGGGGAGGGAAGAGAAGAGGUUGGAAGGGAGGGCUGUGCUUUUCCUGCCCGUGCUCCCCAUCCCCUUCACCCCAGCACAUCCCUUUGUUUGUUGUCCUUGCAGCUGCACAAAAAGCUGUCCCUGGGCAAGGAGGGCAGUGCUGCAGGAGCCACCAUGGGAAGGAAGCUGGUUUUCCAUAGGAACAAUUCCCUGUCCCUGCUGUCCUGCAGAAGGAAUCUGCUUAUCCAGGAAGUUUUCCUUAAGUCCUGUGCCCACCAGUGACUGCAGCAGGCGAAGCAGCAAACAACACCAAAAGGCCAGCUCAGGGCUCAAAGGGCCAGAAGCAGAAGGAGAGGUUCCCCUGCCUUCCCAUUUCCCCAUGUUUUUAUGGGCAGCAGCCAGAUGCAGAGGUCAGGUAAGUCGGUGGAUAUGAAAGACAAACUGGAUGUGGAAGGAUUUGCAGAACGCUUCUUACUUUGCCUCCCCUCCUAACCACGGUUUUGCACGCAGAAACUCGCUUGGGGAGCACAAAAUAUUCCCAACAAAUGGGACUUUUAUCCCUUCUCUGUCUCUGAUUUGCCAGCGAGCUGGCGCAUUUAGCACCUCUGCAUUUGCUUUCUGCUUUUGAGGAGAUAUGAAUGGCAGGAGAAAGUGCAGAUGAAUAGCAGCAGGCUUGUAUUUCAAUAUCCAGGUAGUUAUAGCCUAAAUUGUUCUUUCACCGUGUGACAAAUUAGGUUUUCUCUUAACAUCUGGAGUUCAAUAUUGCCGCAAAGGAAUCCCAGUUUAUGCCUGGGCUUUUAUUUCCCAUGCUAGGGCAUAUUCAGAGAUUAGGCUGAAUAUUUCAUGCAUACAUUCAUAGCUACAAGAAUUUGUAAAAAGGCUCUGCUGUUCCCUGUCUGUGUGGGUGGGGGGGUUUCUUUUAUUAUUAGAUUUUUACCUGUGGCUUCUGUUGUUCUGGUUUUCACAAAUAUCUUCACCUGGCAUUUUCAAGGAAAGAAAGAAAGAUCGCAUCACACAAGAACUCUUCAAUGAGCAGUUCACCUUCUUGCCAGAAAUCUAAAGGGUUUUUGUUUUGUUUUUUUUAAGUAGGAGGGGUGUUUUUGUAAAGUAUUUGCACAGGUACAGCUCUCACAGGUCUUGGGGCACCGGUGCUUCCCAUUGCACUUCCACCAUGGGCAAAUUGCUGACUUCUGCAGGGGAAAACCGUUUGUUACAUGGCUCCAAUCCCAUCCUGAGGAGCUCAAUGUGUACUCCUUUAAGCACAUGGAUAUCUCUGGAACCCUGCCUAUUCCCUGUGCAGCAAAAGGAAUGUCUAGAGGUGUGUGUGUGUGUAUAUAUAUAUAUAUAUACACACAGAAAUUUAAACUGCAGAGCUGUUUCAGCUUUGGGGUUACUUUCUCUGCAUCCCUCAGCAUGAACACAGCCACAGUUUAGAGCAGGGCUUGGGGUUUUUUAUUACUGUUUUUUAAAAAUAACCUCUCCAAUGCAGAGCAUUUGCCUCAGAAGGCACAUUUAUCCCAAGGGGCUCUGGCUGCUUCCAGCUCUUCCAGAGGGAUUCAGGGGCUGGCACAAGAAAGGGUGAUGAGAGCCUGCCUUGGCCUCUUGCUGCUCUCUGCUGUGCCUGGGGGCUCAGCCACCCCAGUGGGCGCUGGGCAGUGUCAUUGUGGUAAUACCUGGGGUUAUUCUGGUAGAAAUUUGGGUUAUUUUGGUGUUACUUUGGGUAAUUUUGAUAGGAAGUCGGGUUAUUUUGAAAAACCUGGGUUAUUUUGAUAUACCUUGUGCUAUUCUGGUAGUACUUUGGAACAGCUUUCAGGUUCUGUGGCUCUGGUUUUGCUUUGGGGAGCGUUUUGUAUGACAAACGGUAACAAAGGGCUGAAAAUCACAGCACGGUGUGAAAUCCUGGCCUGCUGCAGUGAAGAGUGGAGUUAAGCGGCUGAGGGAGUUUUUUCUGCCUGGGAAAGAAGGGAUAACAGUGAAUAAAGACAAGAUAAUAACGGUUUAAAAGAAAAGCAUUCACUGUGGGAUUGAUUUACCGUAGGCUUAAUGGAGGGUUGCACGGAGGGUUUAUCCAGCAGAGGAAGGUAAGCUGAAAUACAUGAAAAAAUAUCCCUUAUUUCAGAGAAUAAACACAGCUCUCUGUGUACAUCCUAAUUACCCCCCUUCCAGGGAAAGUUAAUAUUUCCUUUGUAGCCUAUUUAGGUCAAACUCAUUCACAGCCUUCUUUUAGAGGCAGCAAACUCGUGGCUUACAGCAUUUCUUUUCCAGCAUUGCACAGACCACAAACACCGUGCUGGUUGCUUGCCACAGGGCUCUGCGGUGUAAAUAGAUAUAAAUAUAAAUAUAUAAUUUUUUGUUUCCUCACAUCUGACCCCAAAUCCCUGCUAUCUGCUGUGCCCACCCUGGGAGCCUGUGCGGGGUCUCUGCUCCGAGAGAGAGGUUCAGGGAGGGAGGAGGAGGAGGUUUGGGAGCGCCUCAGCCAGCCAAGCCUCUCUUUCUGAGCACCUUCAAAUGGAGCUGCAGCUCUCUGGGGGCACAGGGCUGUGAGAGCCCCCUCCAGGCUGACCCAACACAGGAUUUACCUGCAAAACACGGUUCUUUGCACAGGUCAGCAAAGCCAGGGCCUCACGGGCAUCUGGGAGGUUCAGGAGGUUUUCCUGGUCCAAGAUAUUCCUUGGGUUUUAUCCCAGCCUGUCUCCUGUAACCUUUUGAAAGCCCUGGAACUCCUUUAAGCUUCUGAAAUUUGCCUCAAGGGAUUCCAUUUGGUGGUUUCCCUCUGCUGCCUCCUUCCCUUCAGGUUCCAACAAAAGGAACCACCUUGCCACUGGACCUGGGCAGUGUCACUGGGUGUCCCCUGGGUGUCCCCUGGGUGCCAGCAGUGUCACUGGGUGUCCCCUGGAUGCCAGCAGUGUCCCCUGGGUGCCAGCAGUGUCACUGGGUGUCCCCCUCUCCUGCUGAUACCUGCACAGGGUCUCACCCCCCAGAUUCCCACUACCAGUGAACCCCACUGCACCAUUUGGCCCUCCCUGGCCUUAUUGCUGCAUUUUAAUCCCAUUUUUCUGGGCGGUUUUCAUCUCUGCAGCCGUGCCCUGGUGAUUUCCCACAUGGUCUCACUGCUGACCCUCCUGGAGCAUCCAAGGGAGAAUUGUUUCCAGCACCCUGAGAGAUGGGGCAGCCAGGAGAAUGGAUUUGGGGCAUUAGGCAUGGUCUGUGCUCCAGCUGUGCUCACCUUCAGGAGCAAAAAAUGACACUUAAAUGCUGGUUUUAAGAGGGAUUUUCCAUCAUAAAUUGAUUUCUGGUUCUGGAGUUAAAAUAAGGAAUCCAAAACAAAGCAGUUUGGGGAAUUCAGAGGUAAAGGGAGUGCAGCAAGAUGGAUGGAGACUGCCCAGUUCAGUAGCACAGCUCUGGUGUGCAGUGUUCCUCCGAGGGAGCAGCGUCCUGCCAGAGAAGGGAGUUUCCUUCAGACCCAUCUCUGACUCCUGUCUUCAUCUCCUCCUUUGUGGCACGGAGCACAGUGCCUCAGGUUUCUGCAUGGCAGGAUUGUCCUUGCCUGGCUGUGAUGUACAACUCCUCUCCCUGGUACAAACCUGAUGCUGGAUUUAUUUCUGUGUGUCACACCCCAGCUGAAGACAUUUUUUCCUUCCCACAUUCCUGGUUGUAGACUGGAAGUUGAAUUGCCCAGAUCUCUCGGGAGCAUUUUCCACGUGGAAAUGCAACAUUAUAGGGAAUAAUUUGUAUUACCUGGCACCUCCUUCCAAGGAGUAACUGGGCUGUGGGUGGUUUGGGUGGAUAAUUCCCUUUCCCUGGGUUUAGCUUUGGCUUUGAUCGUGUUGUGUGGGCACCUAAAGCUGUAAUUAAAUUAAUACCACAAAGGGCAGCGUCUGAUAUUUCCGAACACACGGAACCCACAACCAAAAAAACCCAGAUUAUGUCUUUCUCCAGCAGCCCUUCUAGGGGCCUUUAUUGGUUUUGGUGGGCCGAUUUGAAAUUUUCUUUUUCGGCCGGCUCAAAGAGCUGGAGUGAGCAGCAGCCCGUGACCUUGGGCAGCCGCUGAGAGCCGUCACCAUCCAGCACCGUCUCAGGGCAGGAGAAGGAAGCGGCCUGAGGCACGGUGCAGCGGCAGUUCCUGGGCUGCCCCCAGCCCCCCGGGAUCGCCCGGCCGGGGUCGUUGGUGUGGAACAGGACAACGCUUCCCUUCCCAUGGAGGAUUACCUCCCGCCUGUGCCCCUCCUCCUGGAGCCCAAGGCAGGAGCUCUGCGGCCCUGCCGCUCCUUUGCUUCGCUGCCCUCGUGAAUUUCGGAGCUGGUUCGAUGGGAGCGAAGCUUUGAUGUUGGCUGGAACACUCGACUUUCCUGUGCCUGCCUAAUAUCAUGACGAGGCUUUUGUAUUUGAUCAAAAUGAGAAAUCUGCAUUAAAGGGCUACGCCGAGUACCUGUUGGCUUGACUGAAGGGAAAAUAAUAAUCAGAUGUUUUCCCAGGGCUGCAGCACUUAGGAAAUAAGCCCUGCCCAAGCCUCGAGUUUGGCUUUUGUUGUAAGAACACCCGUAACCACCCAUUUUAAACAAUAUUUUAGCAGAAGGAGGUUUGGGCUUUCUGGAUUUCAACAGAGCCGCAGUCUUGCAGUUAAGAAAUUGUUAGCUCCACAAUCAGACACCUUUAAUUGAAUCCCUGCCACUGGCUUAAUUACAGCAGCCCUUCAGACACCCUGUGAGAAGCAGUGAAAUCAGCCCUGCCACACCUCUCCCAGGCUGCCAUUGGCCGCAAACUUGUCGGGCUUGAUGAGCUGCAGUCAGAGGGGAUUUCGAAGCAAAUAAAUAGCAGCGCCCUCGGAGCAGUCGGGAAUGGAUUUCCACCUGUUUGAACUCCAGCCUGGAGCCAGCCUCUCCCCAGAAACCCAACCUGCUGCACGAGGAGACUGCCGGAGAAGCUGUUCCCCAUCCCUCUGUCCACCCCUGGUGUGAGUAGGUGACUCUGGGAGUCCCCCUGGGCAGCAGCUGGAGUGGUUUUUGGAGCAGCAUGUGAAAAGUGCAUAUUAUAUGGCUCUAUGCAAGAUAUUUACUGUAUGUAUUAUGUUGUAUUGAUUGUUAAUGUUGUAUUAAUAUUUUGAUAGUAUGGUAAAUGUAGUUUUGUAGUUAAAAUGUAGUUUUUAUGUACCGACCACAGGAAAACGUAAAUCUUUCAGAGAAAAAAAGAAUUUACUACUUCCUUAUCAGAAGAGACCAACUUCUCCUGCCUUGCUCAGCCCUGAAGACACCAUAGAGAUUAAAGGAAAAAAGUGAUACUAACCGGAGGCAAUUCUUUGUUUGAAUGGAAUUUAUGCAUCAUGUAUGAAAUGUAUGAAUAUUCAACAGUCUAUUGCUUUUAAGAGAUAAUCCUUUGUUAACAGGGGUCCUUCUCCGGAGCUUUUUUGCUCGGGGAGGCACCCAGACGUCUGUAACUUUGUUUUUAUUGUCUCGUAUUGUCCUAACCCUAAUUGUUCAAUUUUUUUACUCUAAUUCUAUUUUUAUAACCAUCUUAUUUACUAUUAAACUUUCAAAAUUUUAAAAAACCCAA